UACGGGGGGGGCAAGCGUUGUUCGGAAUUACUGGGCGUAAAGGGCUCGUAGGCGGCCAACUAAGUCAUACGUGAAAUCCCUCGGCUUAACCGGGGAACUGCGUCUGAUACUGGACGGCUUGAGUUCGGGAGAGGGAUGCGGAAUUCCAGGUGUAGCGGUGAAAUGCGUAGAUAUCUGGAGGAACACCGGUGGCGAAGGCGGCAUCCUGGACCGAUACUGACGCUGAGGAGCGAAAGCCAGGGGAGCAAACGGG
rnacentral:rRNA from 1 species